AGCGCGUGAUGACAAACUGUUUCGGUCCCAUAUGAGUGCCUGAUUACUGCUUAAUGAGAUCUCCUGAUGCU